rnacentral:rRNA from 1 species
UACGUAGGGACCAAGCGUUGUUCGGAUUUAUUGGGCGUAAAGAGCGUGUAGGCGGCCAGGUAGGUCUGCUGUGAAAACUCGAGGCUCAACCUCGAGAUGUCGGCGGAAACCAUCUGGCUAGAGUCCGGAAGAGGAAAGUGGAAUUCCUGGUGUAGCGGUGAAAUGCGCAGAUAUCAGGAGGAACACCUAUGGCGAAGGCAGCUCGCUGGGACGUUACUGACGCUGAGGAGCGAAAGCGUGGGGAGCGAACAGG